rnacentral:rRNA from 1 species
ACCUGCGGAAGGAUCAUUACCGAGAGAAGGGCUCCGGCCCUUGGUGCGGCAGCGCCUAACUCUUCACCCUAUGCGUACGUACCAUUGUUGCUUUGGCGGGUUGCGGGGCUUGUUUCCGUGCCCUAUAGGGCUGGCCCGCCAGAGACCCCAUUAAAAAUCUGCGUUUAGUGUUGUCCGAGCCGUAAAGUAAUCAAUGCAAAACUUUCAACAACGGAUCUCUUGGUUCUGGCAUCGAUGAAGAACGCAGCGAAAUGCGAUAAGUAAUGUGAAUUGCAGAAUUCAGUGAAUCAUCGAAUCUUUGAACGCACAUUGCGCCCCUUGGUAUUCCGAGGGGCAUGCCUGUUCGAGCGUCAUUGCAACCGUCAAGCUCUGCUUGGUAUUGAGUGUUCGCCUUCUCCUAUCUCGUGGGGACGGCGUCCUCGAAAAAUAGGGGCGGUCCUGGAAGACUUCAAGCGUAGUAAAGCCGUCGCUUCGGAAGCUUUCUACCCGGGACUUCAGCCUAAAAACCGUACGAUACUUCAAUGAUUGACCUCGGAUCAGGUAGGGAUACCCGCUGAACUUAA